rnacentral:lncRNA from 1 species
AGAGAGAGAGAGAGAGAGAGAGAGAGAGAGAGAGAGAGAAACGAGCUGGCGGAGAGGAGCAGAAGGCAGGAGGGGAAAUCUGGCACAACGGCUGGGAGAGGAAACUUGAUGCUUCUGGGCCACCAUUUGCCAGGGCCUCGCUCGAGGAAAUUGCUUUGGAGAUGAGGAAACAAACUCUUAUGGAUUCUCUUCAGAGGACAAGAGAAGAUGUUACAUUCUCUGCAUGAGGACAAUUCUGCAGCAUCAAAAUCGAAUAAUAUUUGUUUUCUGGCAGCAGAAUUUUGUAUCAUAUUUCUAAAGACAGUAAGCACUUGGGUGGACGUCAAUGAAUACUAAACACUAAUUGAUCUGAUACAGCCGUAUGCACAUACACAGAUAUACAUGGUGGCUUGUAAUGGUUGAAAAAUUACGGUUUGGUUUUAUUAAAAGAUCUGUCACUUUUAGGUCAGAGUGGGAUUUUGGAGGGAUAGUCUCCCACAAUAGAAAACUACCCUGACAACAGUGGUGUUUUGAGGUUGUUUGUUGUUUGGCUUCUUGAUGAUGCUUAGCUAAGGAGACACUUCCUUUCAGAUUCUGUCUUCCAAACCCCAGGGCUCUGUUCUGGGCAGUUCAGCCUAAUGGAAUUAAGCCUGACAUGUUUCAACUCUAUUUCUUGAUAAAAUAAACAUAAAACAAUGGUUUAGAUUUC